AAUAGAUAAUACCGUUGAUUUUUUCUCACAUGUUUGACCAUUUGUCUUAUUCAAAAAAAUUACGUAAUUAUAAUUUUUGUUAUAAGUUGUUUUAUCACUCAUGCAUAGUACUUUAAGUGUGAUUUAUAUCUUUUACAUUUGCAUAAAAUUUUUGAAUAAGACGAAUGGUCAAACAUAUGAGAAAAAGUCAACGACGUCAUCUAUU
rnacentral:pre_miRNA from 1 species